rnacentral:ncRNA from 1 species
UCCACUGUGAGAUGGAAUCUGAAGGAAGUCGGCGGCAAAGCUCUGGUCUGAGGAACACGAACUACAUAUAAAGCAUAUGCGCGAUGGGUGAGUUUGCCAAACAAAACGUAGCCCAAAACUAUCCAAAGUGUGUGGUGUAACUACCUAAUAGUUUGAAACAGAUAGUCACCUGA